rnacentral:rRNA from 1 species
AGUGAACGCUGGCGGUAGGCCUAACACAUGCAAGUCGAACGGCAGCACAGUAAGAGCUUGCUCUUACGGGUGGCGAGUGGCGGACGGGUGAGGAAUACAUCGGAAUCUACUUUUUCGUGGGGGAUAACGUAGGGAAACUUACGCUAAUACCGCAUACGACCUACGGGUGAAAGCAGGGGAUCUUCGGACCUUGCGCGAUUGAAUGAGCCGAUGUCGGAUUAGCUAGUUGGCGGGGUAAAGGCCCACCAAGGCGACGAUCCGUAGCUGGUCUGAGAGGAUGAUCAGCCCCCCUGGAGCUGAGACACGGUCCAGACUCCUACGGGAGGCCGCAGUGGGGAAUAUUGGACAAUGGGCGCAAGCCUGAUCCAGCCAUACCGCGUGGGUGAAGAAGGCCUUCGGGUUGUAAAGCCCUUUUGUUGGGAAAGAAAAGCAGCAGGUUAAUACCCCGCUGUUCUGACGGUACCCAAAGAAUAAGCACCGGCUAACUUCGUG